UGCCUGGUAGUGGGGGAUAACGUCCGGAAACGGGCGCUAAUACCGCAUACGUCCUGAGGGAGAAAGUGGGGGAUCUUCGGACCUCACGCUAUCAGAUGAGCCUAGGUCGGAUUAGCUAGUUGGUGGGGUAAAGGCCUACCAAGGCGACGAUCCGUAACUGGUCUGAGAGGAUGAUCAGUCACACUGGAACUGAGACACGGUCCAGACUCCUACGGGAGGCAGCAGUGGGGAAUAUUGGACAAUGGGCGAAAGCCUGAUCCAGCCAUGCCGCGUGUGUGAAGAAGGUCUUCGGAUUGUAAAGCACUUUAAGUUGGGAGGAAGGGCAGUAAGUUAAUACCUUGCUGUUUUGACGUUACCAACAGAAUAAGCACCGGCUAACUUCGUGCCAGCAGCCGCGGUAAUACGAAGGGUGCAAGCGUUAAUCGGAAUUACUGGGCGUAAAGCGCGCGUAGGUGGUUCAGCAAGUUGGAUGUGAAAUCCCCGGGCUCAACCUGGGAACUGCAUCCAAAACUACUGAGCUAGAGUACGGUAGAGGGUGGUGGAAUUUCCUGUGU
rnacentral:rRNA from 1 species